rnacentral:misc_RNA from 1 species
AAAGUCGUAACAAGGUUUCCGUAGGUGAACCUGCGGAAGGAUCAUUAACAUUUACGUGUUCUACACGUAUACCUUUUUUACCCCCCUGAACUUUUCUACUAAUUUCUGAGUCUCCUUUUCUUUGUUUGAAAAAGCAAAGGUAAAGGUUACUUACUUUAAUUUUAUACAACUCUUAGCAACGGAUAUCUCGGUUCUC